AUAAAAAAAAAUCUAAAAAAAGAGAUACAACUCAGAGUUCUAACAGAAUUGAGAAAAAAAUAGAUAUAUCAAAUAGUAAAAGGACACAAAUCUGCCAAUAAAUCACGGUGAUCUCUUUGCUUAGCAUAUGCCUUGUGUGAAACUUACAUUUGUUUCUAAUUUGUCAAACCACAAUUAAACAAGAAAUCCAAGUAAUGAAGAAAAACCUAAUAGAGAGUAAUUCUUAAAUGAAAGGUAGCAAAGAAUAGUUUACAAUUAAGUAGCUUUGGAAUUCACAGGACAUUACAUCAAAGAGUUCAUUAUCACGCAGCAACUGGCCCACUGCAAUGUUCUUCAAAUUGUUUCUAAAAAAGAAUGCUGUUCUUCAUCUAUGUUUUGAAUCUGUUAGUGCCCUUUGCCCUUUUGCCAUAGUUACCUUUAGAAUGGAAAUGAAACACCUGGGAUUGCAAAAACCCUGUCCGAGAAAUUCUGCCAAAAAUUGUUCUCUCGAGGCAAGUGUUCAAAAUAACUUUAAAAACAAUUUGCCUGGUACAAAUCAAAUUAGAAAAAUUACACAGCAUUAACAUUAAUAGACCAAUAUCUGUUAUGGUCCAUUAAUGGACCAAAUAUUUUGAGAUAUGUAUUAUGAAAAAAGACAACCUACUGCAAUAACAUGUAUUUGUUAUCUGUUCUUCUUAUUCUUAUCCCGAAUCAAUCCACUGCAAGAUGAAGGCCUUUUCAGUGAAGCUUAUGGACCACAAUCUACCAGGCUGGCCCAGUGCAGACUUUGAUGAGAAGAGAGAUCCCGGACUGAUGCCAUGCCAUUUCUUUCUUUUUCCCAUGUUGUUCAGAUCCACACAGACUCUUUUGCUUGCACCUUUUGCCUCCAUGAUCGUCUUGCCAUAAAAAGUUGGAAUUUCUGAUGACAUUCAUCUAUCCCAUUCUACAGAAAUAUUCUGGCAGAGAGUAUGAUGCUUAUUUGUCAUUGCUUCUGUCUGACCAGGACUCUGAUGUAUCUUCCGAGGUUGCUAAAUUCUGUGCCUCUAUAUAUUCUAUUCCUCCAAUUUACAACUAGUGAUUAGUGCUGAUCUUGGUGAUUGCCACUAUUAUUUGUACUAUUUGUUUUAUUUGCAGUGUUUUCUUUAUAACAGUCCUGUAUUUUACAUUUACUUUUUAUUCAUAUGUAUAGAUUUAGGUAUAUGUGUUUCUCUAUAUACACAUUUGGUCUAUAUUGCAUUUUCUGGCUCAAAAACUGUAAUAAAGGAUUGAGUAAUCCUCACAAAACAUAGGUAAAAUAGAUAAUGAGAGAAAGACUGAAUAAUUACAACUGGAAAAACAAUUCCUAUCCUUUUUGUGAUUGAAAAUAUUUGGAUUUAUACAAUCAUUAAAUCAUUCUGUUGGAUCCUUUUUUUAGUAGUAUUUUAAAGCAUAUAUCUAGUCUGCUUAAAUCCAACUGAACAAAGCAAUUACUUCCUAAGAAAAUUAAGACUAUAUAUUCUUGAAUC